UACGGAGGAUGCGAGCGUUAUCCGGAUUUAUUGGGUUUAAAGGGUGCGUAGGCGGACGGUCAAGUCAGCGGUAAAAAUGCGGUGCUCAACGCCGUACAGCCGUUGAAACUGGCAGUCUUGAGUGGGCGAGAAGUAUGCGGAAUGCGUGGUGUAGCGGUGAAAUGCAUAGAUAUCACGCAGAACUCCGAUUGCGAAGGCAGCAUACCGGCGCCCUACUGACGCUGAGGCACGAAAGCGUGGGUAUCGAACAGG
rnacentral:ncRNA from 2 species